rnacentral:rRNA from 1 species
CGCAUCUGUGCAUGCAGCAUAUCAAUAAGCGGAGGAAAAGGGAAUCGGUCGCCCCAGUACCUACGCUUAGGAUGUUGACGCGCGUGUGUGCGUGAUCUAUACAUGACUCUGUGCAUAUCAAUAAGCGGAGGAAAAGAAACUAACAAGGAUUCCCUUAGUAACGGCGAGUGAAGCGGGAAGAGCUCAAAUUUGAAAUCUUCAAGGUUUUACCUUGACGAAUUGUAGUUUAAAGAAGUGUUUUCUGUUGAAGUUUUGGUAAAAGUUCUUUGGAGUAGGACAUCAUAGAGGGUGAGAAUCCCGUAUUUGACCAUUAUUUUCAGCUGUGUGAUACACUUUCAAAGAGUCGGAUUGUUUGGGAAUGCAGUCCAAAAUGGGUGGUAAAUUUCAUCUAAAGCUAAAUAUUGGCGAGAGACCGAUAGCGAACAAGUACCGUGAGGGAAAGAUGAAAAGAACUUUGAAAAGAGAGUUAAACAGUACGUGAAAUUGUCAAAAGGGAAGCGUUUGACACGAGUGUUGUUUUCUCGAAAAUCAAUUAAAAAGAGUUUGAUUUUGUUGUGUAUUGACCUUAACAGCUUGCAUUUCAAUUUUCUUGCUUUUUUUAAUGCACUUUUCGUUUAACAAGUCAACAUCAGUUUCUUUUGUUGUAAAAAGGUCAUUGGAAGGUGGCUUUCUUUUCGGAGAAAGUGUUUAUAGCCUUUGACUCCUGCAAUCGGAGAGACUGAGGUCUGCAGCGUAGAUCCUUCGGGGUUAGAUACAUUUGUGCUAAGUUAUAGCUUUUUAUAGACAACUUGUUGACUAUGAUUAGUCUUGUAGCUUACUCGCUUAUGCUAUUUUACCUACGCUUAGGAUGUUGACGCGCGUGUGUGCGUG